ensembl:snRNA U6 U6 spliceosomal RNA
CUGCUUUCUUUGGCAUUACAUGUACUAAAAUUGGAAUGAGGCAAAGAUUAGCAUGUCCCCUGCUGAAGGAUGACACACAAAUUGGGGAAGUGUUCCUACUUAAA